GAGGGAUGGAGGAGCCGGAGAUGCAGCUGAAGGUGAAGAAAGUGACGGACAAGUUCACGGAGAGCCUGUACGUGCUGGCCAACGAGCCCUCGGUGGCGCUGUUCCGCCUGCAGGAGCACGUCCGCCGCUCCCUGCCCGAGCUGGCCCAGCACAAGUCGGACAUGCAGAGCUGGGAGGAGCAGAGCCAGGGAGCCAUUUACACCGUGGAGUAUGCCUGCAGUGCCAUCAAGAGCAUGACCGACAGCAGUGUUUACUUCAAGAGCAUCGACAGCCUCCUCAAACAUUCCAUAGCCAUGAAGGAGCAGCUCAGCUCCAGCCAGGGCCGCAGCACCAUCACCCCCCAACCCAAGAAUCCUCCAGGCACUUCUUGAUUUUUCCAUCCUGAAUUUCCCAACCUCGGGAAGAAAUGGAAAAAAACCCAAAAAACCUCUGUGGCUGCAAAGGUCUUGCUUUGGGAAUUUUGUGUAAAAAGCUGGAAUGUGAGCACACUCCAAGCUUUUGUUGAGGAGGAAUUCUCCAAGGAGAAACUUUGCCAGUGAGUGCCAAGGAAUUGCUGGAUUUGUUUUUAAUGAGGACAAGAAUAAAAAGAGAAUUAAAAAAAAAAAAAAAAUCCCAAAAAAACCAACAAAAAAAUUCCUUUUUAAAGGUUUUAAACUUGUCACCGUGGGAGCUUGGAGCUCCUUUUAUUUUUCCAGUGUUUCCAAGGGCAUGGAGCAAAAUAAAGUGGAAUUUUUAGGCUUUCAAGGGAGAAAAGGAAUUGUCCCAUUCCUUAAAAUCCUACCAAAAAAAAAAAAAAA